rnacentral:misc_RNA from 1 species
CAGAGUUCAUGCCCUCUGGGUAGAUCUCCCACCCUUGCAUACCGUACCUUUGUUGCUUUGGCGAGCCGCCCUUGGGGCCACCGGCACGUGCUGGUGUGAGCUCGCCGGAGAACCCCAAACUCCGAACUAUUUGGCGUCGUCUGAGUACUUAUAUAAUAGUUA